rnacentral:rRNA from 1 species
UGGGGAAUUUUGGACAAUGGGCGAAAGCCUGAUCCAGCAAUGCCGCGUGUGUGAAGAAGGCCUUCGGGUUGUAAAGCACUUUUGUCCGGAAAGAAAUCCUUGGCUCUAAUACAGUCGGGGGAUGACGGUACCGGAAGAAUAAGCACCGGCUAACUACGUGCCAGCAGCCGCGGUAAUACGUAGGGUGCAAGCGUUAAUCGGAAUUACUGGGCGUAAAGCGUGCGCAAGCGGUUUGCUAAGACCGAUGUGAAAUCCCCGGGCUCAACCUGGGAACUGCAUUGGUGACUGGCAGGCUAGAGUAUGGCAGAGGGGGGUAGAAUUCCACGUGUAGCAGUGAAAUGCGUAGAGAUGUGGAGGAAUACCGAUGGCGAAGGCAGCCCCCUGGGCCAAUACUGACGCUCAUGCACGAAAGCGUGGGGAGCAAACAGGAUUAGAUACCCUGGUAGUCCACGCCCUAAAACGAUGUCAACUAGUUGUUGGGGAUUCAUUUCCUUAGUAACGUAGCUAACGCGUGAAGUUGACCGCCUGGGGAGUACGGUCGCAAGAUUAAAACUUAAAUGAAUUGACGGGGUCAUAGCUGUUUCCU